UUCACAAAAAAUCAGUCAAUAAACAUUAAAAACUCUUCCAACAUCAGGAUUUACCCCAGUGUCUCAACCUUGGAGCAACUGGAAACUCGCAAAAUACAACAAACACACGUGACAGCUUUUUAAAUAUGAGGAGAAUCGAAGAUUGUCCCGGUAAAUUUUAAUCCCAGAUUUUUAAGAAGUUGAAUCUCUGAUUGCGCGGGGAUUGGAGUAAAUGGAAACCUGGAGUGACCCGGAUUGACCCGGACUGACCCGGGGCCUCAAUUUAUUUCAAGAAAUGUUGGAGAUGAGCUGAAGAAACCUCUACUCUCUUUCCUCGGAUUUGAGUUAAUGACUAGAAAUAAAUCGGGCUGAUGAAUGUGGGGCGUCAAGGGCGUGUGGAAAGUAGGGUACCUCAAGAGUAGAAUAAAAUAAUUGAGUAGUUGAAUAACGUUGAACUGUUUAUACGAUAAUUGCGAUAGCCAAGUGAGACAAAAACCGAAAGAACCUAUAUCAGACAGAA